rnacentral:rRNA from 1 species
CCUACGGGAGGCUGCAGUAGGGAAUAUUGGGCAAUGGACGAAAGUCUGACCCAGCCAUGCCGCGUGCAGGAUGACUGCCCUAUGGGUUGUAAACUGCUUUUCUAUGGGAAGAAACACUCAUACGUGUAUGAACUUGACGGUACCAUAGGAAUAAGGAUCGGCUAACUCCGUGCCAGCAGCCGCGGUAAUACGGAGGAUCCAAGCGUUGUUGGGUUUCAUUGGGUUGUAGGCGUACGACGAAGGCCGAGGUGAAAUCUUGCGGCUCAACCGUAAAAUUGCCUUUGAAACUGGUAGGCUUGAGUUCGGUCGAGGUGGAUGGAAUGUGUCAUGUAGCGGUGAAAUGCUUAGAUAUGACCCAGAACACCAAUUGCGAAGGCAGUUCACUAGACCGAUACUGACGCUGAGGCACGAAAGCGUGGGGAGCGAACAGGAUUAGAUACCCGGGUAGUC